rnacentral:rRNA from 1 species
AUGUCGCUCAGAAAAGGGACCAUGACCUCUGCGUUCCAUCAUCCAUGUGUGGUUGCACAUGGACGAGACGAGAUCAUCCAUCACUAUAACUCGUUGCACAGGAAAGAUUUGAAGAACCACUGGGGUAUGUUGACGGAGAUACAUGACUACAUCAAGGACCGUGCCCAACUCAGAGAGAUGUUCGCUCUUCUCCUGAGAUGGUAUCGGAUCCUUCUACAGCAGCAAUCCCAAGUACCAACACUGCAGCCCCUAUCACCGACAACACAACCGGCGUUGAAGGACCAAGAGAAGGUGUUGAAGUCCUAA